GUAUCAACAUGUCUAUUUUUCAUAAUUAUUUUUAUUUAUCAAAGUCAUUUUAUCUCACAGCUUUCCUCCCUUUUCAUUCCACGUGGUUAUCUAUCCAGUGAUGUCUUGUACGUGACAUCCAUGCCUCUUUCCACUUUAGCCUCAUGUUUGAUUUAUUCAUAGUGGAAAAAACUGUUCAAUUCUCAUAUAGCAAAAAGGGAGCAAAUAACUCUUUUGGUUCUUCAAAGCUCUUUUCAGUUUUCACAAAGGAAAGAAAGGGUUUUCUUCAUGUCGAUAUUGGGAAUGGGAAGAUUAAGUUUUUUCUUGAAGUCGCCUAUCUACGUAAUUAGAGUCGUAGUUGAAAGACUCAAGAUGGAAAUGGAUAAUUCAAAGAUUGAAGUGGAGAAUUUGAAGAUUGAAAUGAAGAACUUGAAGAUUGUUGUGGAAAAUUUGAAGAUAAAAGUAGCUCAUUUGUCUGAAAAAAUUGCUACAUUGCAGGCAUCGAAUUUGGUAGUGAAAAAAGUUACGACAUUUGAAGACAUUUUUUUGUAAUUGUGACCGUAAACACUUUCCUAAUAAGUUUUUUUGUCAAUAUAUAUGAAGUGUACAUCGUGUUCUGUAAAUAUGUAAGGGAGGGAUCAUAAAUGUUCAGGUUCUGUAAAUGUGCAAUUUUGUUCAGGUUCUGUAAAUAUAUGAAUGUGGAUAAUAAAGAAAUUUGUUUGGCAAAAA